ensembl:lncRNA
UGUUAACUCUGGAGUGCCCCCUACAGCGUUGGAAUAACAGGGCAUCCAAUUGAUACUAUCAAUUUAAAACAUAAUAGCAACGUCUAUUAUCGUCAUUUCUAUUAAACCGUGGUUACCGAAACUCAGACAUUCGUCACUUGUCCCUGAGAGAGACAAGAAGAGAUAAGAUGCGAUAAUGUUCUCAGCACGAAUAUGGCCUAAUUAAGCAAUCGAGACUGUAAUUGACCGAGCGGCUGAGUAGGUCAAGCAACGGGGUCACGGUAAGCUGUCCAGUUUUGGGCUCGGGACAACUUACCUGAGCGAGUACACGGAGCGAGAAGUGUGAUGUGGCCAGCCAUCCGCCGACGGAGACUCCGCUCACUCACCUGUACACAACGACAACACAGAAAUCUGCAUCCACUCAGAUGUGUGAGAGUGCUGAAUUCCUCAGCUGUGUAAACACCUGUUGGAGCGAGAGUACAGUCUGUGAGAUGAAGAAACUGCUGAAACAUUUCGUGGUGCUCCAGACCCAUGGCCACCAGGGAAUCGUACCAGAGACCACCACGCUGGAGGACAUGAGUUCCUGGCUCAUAUCUCGCACAUGCCCGAACCGUCAGAUGCCCAAAUUGUUCCCACUGACGGAAUCAUGGAGGACUGGUGAAACUAACCAGUUGAAGUGGUGUGUGUACGCCAACCUCAUGCAGCGAACACUGGAGCUCCAGGCAUCUAAGGAGGUUCCGGUCAACCUCAAUCAGGCCCAUAAACCCAUGGCUUCUGGAGGCCUCUCCUCUCGUUGUGAAGAGGUCCAUUUGGAGGUGGUCAGAGGUCUGAGGCAGGUGUCGCCCUCAGUGACCUUUGACCCCUCUGCCUCCUUGCACAGUCCCGCCGAAGUUCUGGUGGACCUGGUUCCCAGGCUGCUGCUGAACCUGCAGGCCCAGCACAGGAAAGCCCUCCCGAGGGACCAGCGAGGCUGGCUGGCCCUGACCGACGUGGUCCUCAGUGCCAUGCUGGAAGUCCUUGACAACCUGGCCUCUGCUCUGGACAACCUGGAGACCCUCAAGGUCUACUACUCCCCCGCCACAGGGGUCCGUCUGGUGCACUCCGUCCAGAGGCUGAUGGUGAAGCUCAGGGCUCUGAUGAACGCAGUCUGACCGGCAGGAUGGUGGACGCCCUGACCGUGAAGGUCCAGAAGAUGUUCCAGCAGCGCCAGGAUGUCAUCCUCACUGAGGCUGUCUUGGACGACCUGUCUGACGCCAAGGAAACAGUGCCUGAGAGGGCACUGUAUCCACCAGGGCCAAGCAGCCAACAGCUGAUUCUUCACGCUGAAGAACUCAGGACUCUGGUGGGCCUGGCGUUGGUCCAGAUAUUCGACGGGCGCGUCGAGGCUCAGCUGGACGUGUCGGACUGGCCCAUCUUCGACGAGCUUGAGAACCUGCUCUCGCACUACAACAUGAGAACCUCGAAGAAGAUGGAGAAGGUCAACUGGAGGCUCAGCCUGGAGUCCAUCGUGAGGAUGUCCACGGAGCUCCACAACAGUCUCCACAGCGCCUUCGGGUCCAAGCUGAACCUUCAGAUGGCCGUGAAGCACAGGGUCAAGGUGCUGACCCGUUCUAUGAACUACAGGGUGGUGGACCUGAUACUGCAGUUGCAGGAUCGUCACCUGGCUGAGAGCAUGGCUGAGGAGAGCAGUGGCCAGUUCGCCAUGAAAGUACCUGUGGUGGAGGAGAUCCCUACUUCCCCUAGCUGCUUCUCUGCUCUCUGGAAGGUCCUGAGGUCUAGUUUCACCAAGAGGCAGAAGAGAGUCAGCGCUGGACCGGGUGUUCGAUGCCGACCCUGAAGCGCCAAAGCACUCAGCGCCACCAAGAGAUGACGUCAGCGCUGAGCCUGGGUGUUCGAUGCCGGCCGGGAAACCAACCCUGCGCUGAGCUCCACCGACAGGUUGACAGAAGGGGACGCAGGCGAAGACAGAGGGAGAUGAAGACAGAUGGAGACGGAAGCCAGCCAGCUCCAUCUACAGGCCAGGCUGUUGUACAAAGUUGUAUAAAGUAGAAGUAGAAAACAUACGUUUUAGGAAAGUUUUAGGAAAGAACAUCAUAUUUCAAAUGACCGAGCCUUAUUUUACUGAAGGGGAGAAGAUGGAAGGUGCUGUGGACAGACGGAGAUGAAGACACAGAGAGGCGAGCACGAAGACAGACGAGGAAGAAGACAAUGGGAGACGAAGACACACGUGGAUGAAGGAACAGAGCGAAGAAGGCGAGGAAGAAGAUAGACAGAGACAAAGACUGACAGAGACGAAGACAGACAAAGACGAAGACAGACGGAGAUGAAGACAGACGAAGACGAAGAGUGAGUGAGACAAAGACUGAGAGAGAGGAAGACAGACGAAGACGAAGACAGAGAGAGACGAAGACAGUUGGGGAGUGAUGAAGAAGGCAUAGCAAGAUGACCUGACUCUGUUCCUUCUCUCUACCUCUAUAAGGCUCAGAAGAGGGGGAGCAGUGUAGAGGAAGAGGAGUGGAGGGACAUGGUCCAGACCUCCAUACCACAGCUGUACCCCAGCACCUGGUCCUACUACUGCUUCUGACAGAUCAUCCCCACAUCGUUAACUGCCCUUAACACCAUGUCUAACUCAUUCACACCCUACUCUGUUUCCAAUAAAAUAUGAAAUAUGAAAAUGAAAAACGGCUGAGGAAUACAAGUCAUUCAUCUUUGCCAUGCUAGGUGAAUAAUUGAACUUAGUAUAAGGAGUAUAAUCUCUAUCAAAGAGACUAU